rnacentral:rRNA from 1 species
UCGGGAAUAUUGGACAAUGGGGGAAACCCUGAUCCAGCCACGCCGCGUGGGUGAUGGAGGCCUUCGGGUCGUAAAGCCCUGUCAGAGGGGAAGAAACGGACGAAUGUUAAUAGCAUUCGACCUUGACGGUACCCUCAGAGGAAGCACCGGCCAACUACGUGCCAGCAGCCGCGGUAAUACGUAGGGUGCAAGCGUUGCUCGGAAUCACUGGGCGUAAAGGGCGUGUAGGCGGCUCGGUAAGCGGGAUGUGAAAGCCCUCGGCUCAACCGAGGAAGUGCAUUCCGAACUGUCGGGCUUGAGUUCGGGAGAGGGUGGUGGAAUUCCCGGUGGAACGGUGAAAUGUGUAGAUAUCGGGAGGAACAUCGGUGGCGAAGGCGGCCACCUGGCCCGAAACUGACGCUGAAACGCGAAAGCGUGGGGAGCAAACA